rnacentral:rRNA from 1 species
GACGAACCGAGCGAACGCUUUUCGGAAUCACUGGGCUUAAAGGGCGCGUAGGCGGGUGAUCGAGUCCGGGGUGAAAUCCUCCAGCUCAACUGGAGAACUGCCUCGGAUACUGGUUGCCUCGAGGAAGGUAGGGGUGUGUGGAACGUUCAGUGGAGCGGUGAAAUGCAUUGAUAUUGAAAGGAACUCCGGUGGCGAAGGCGACACACUGGACCUUUUCUGACGCUGAGGCGCGAAAGCUAGGGGAGCAAACGGG